UACGGAGGGUGCGAGCGUUGUUCGGAAUUACUGGGCGUAAAGGGCUCGUAGGCGGCCAACUAAGUCGGAUGUGAAAUCCCCAGGCUUAACCUGGGAACUGCAUCCGAUACUGGAUGGCUUGAAUCCGGGAGAGGGAUGCAGAAUUCCAGGUGUAGCGGUGAAAUGCGUAGAUAUCUGGAGGAAUACCGGUGGCGAAGGCGGCAUCCUGGACCGGCAUUGACGCUGAGGAGCGAAAGCUAGGGGAGCAAACGGG
rnacentral:rRNA from 1 species